rnacentral:lncRNA from 1 species
UUUGCUUAGCUGCGCUGGGCUCUGCCCUGUUAGAGCUUCCCUGCUGUUUUGUUUACACUGUGAGCAUAGAACCGCCUACUCAAGCCUCAGCAAUGGCAGAUGCCCCUCCCCCUGCCAAGCUCCCACGUCUCAGGUCAAUCUCAGAGGCCUAGGAAGAUGGAAUGGUUUUGUAUGUCAGGCCCCUACUGUUCUGUGCAGCCUUGGAACAUGGUGCCCUGCACUGCAUUUGCUCCAGCUUCAACCAUGGCUAAAAGGGGCCAAAGUAAAGCUCAGGCCAUUGCUUCAGACAGUGCAAGCCCCAAGCCUUGGCAGCUUCCAUGUGGUGUUGGGUCUGUGG